rnacentral:rRNA from 1 species
ACGUAGGUAGCGAGCGUUAUUCGGAUUUACUGGGCGUAAAGGGUCUGCAGGGGGCCUGCCAAGUCUGGCGUGAAAUUCCAAGGCUCAACCUUGGAACUGCGUUGGAUACUGGCGGGCUAGAGUGCAUGAGGGGAGAACAGAAUACCUGGUGUAGCGGUGGAAUGCGCAGAUAUCAGGUGGAACACCGACGGCGAAGGCGGUUCUCUGGCAUGCAACUGACCCUGAGGGACGAAAGCGUGGGGAGCAAACAG